rnacentral:rRNA from 1 species
UAGAAUUGACGGGGCCGCACAAGCGGUGGAGCAUGUGGUUAAUUCGAAGCAACGCGAAGAACCUUACCAGGUCUUGACAUCCCGAUGCUAUUUCUAGAGAUAGAAAGUUACUUCGGUACAUCGGUGACAGGUGGUGCAUGGUUGUCGUCAGCUCGUGUCGUGAGAUGUUGGGUUAAGUCCCGCAACGAGCGCAACCCCUAUUGUUAGUUGCCAUCAUUCAGUUGGGCACUCUAGCGAGACUGCCGGUAAUAAACCGGAGGAAGGUGGGGAUGACGUCAAAUCAUCAUGCCCCUUAUGACCUGGGCUACACACGUGCUACAAUGGUUGGUACAACGAGUUGCGAGUCGGUGACGGCGAGCUAAUCUCUUAAAGCCAAUCUCAGUUCGGAUUGUAGGCUGCAACUCGCCUACAUGAAGUCGGAAUCGCUAGUAAUCGCGGAUCAGCACGCCGCGGUGAAUACGUUCCCGGGCCUU